GAGGCCUACUUUUCUGGACUGAACUGAUCAAAAAGUAGCCCAUGGGGGUAGGUCACACAGGUCCUAUUCAGAAUCUCUUUUGUGCCAGUAUCUCUCCUUGAUUCAGCAUCCAAGGACAGCCAGUUCUGUGUGGGCAGAUUGGAGACAGGCUACAGUGCCCAACUGGGACACAAUACCUCCUCUAUGUUCAGGUUUGGUUAGCUGAGAACAACUGUUAUACAAGGCUGCAGACACUUUGACCACGGCUGUGCCCUGCUUUCCCUGGCACCUACAUGUUUGAUAACAACUCUCCGCCUGGAGACUUUGACAUGUCCUCGGAAAACCAGAUCCCUGUGACCAAGCCAUGGACACGCAUAAGGCUGUAGCCGGAAAGAAGCCUGACAACGGACCAAAGGCUGUGGGAGAGGAUGUCCUGGGGAAAAUGGAUACUAAACUCGCCAACAAACUGGCGUCAAGUACGGAGGUCGGUGUUUUGUUCUGG
rnacentral:lncRNA from 1 species